AGCCGCCAGACCCACUAUCUCUCUUCCCCCCAUCUUUCCCUUCUAUGCAUCUCCGCCUCUCCUUCUCGAUUCGGCACGAGCUUCGCUUCGAUUUGCUUUUAUUUUCUCUCGCCCUGCUCGUUCUCCGAUGAUGACCCAAAUAAUACUUUCGUUCUUCUGAAAUUCACAAUGUGGAAGAACUGGAGACCUGAACUGAGGAGACUGCAUCUGGUUGCCGUUUGAUUUUUCUGUACGUAUUUUGUUUUCUUUUCCUUCCCAUGGAUCGGGGUUGGUUGUUCGCGGAUCCCGGUGAUGACCUGUGAUGUUAAAGUAGUGGCCUGAUUCAUACGUUGAUGAGAUCCAUAUUAUCACCCAGAGGGAUCUGAGCCAAGAAGCAACCCGACAUUGUUGCUCGUCUGGGGUUCUCGUUUUUGCUAUUUGCUUGAGAAGUUUUGGACUACUUUUCGCCCUCCCGAUGACUGGACAAAAUUUAAGUUUCAGCCUUGUCUGAAAAAUACCAAUCUGUUGAUACAUCUAUGCAAAUGUUUCUGAGGGACCAUCUCUUUUCGAGAUUCUGUUUUUGUUUUAUCUUGUGCUAGAUCUAAUGCCUAAAGCUGUCCGAUGAUGAUGAAACUAAAUACUUUCGUUCUUCUGAUGCGCUAUCUCAUGGCGCGGUGUGGAAGCAAUUUGGAGACCUGAACUGAGGAAAAGCUUAUUAUAUCGGUGCAUUUCAAUUUUUUUCCGCUUGCAUUUUGCGUUUGAAAAACUGUUUUGUGUUUGUUGCUUCACACCUGGAAGGAUGGCCUGUUGAUAUCAGUUUGGUCAUCCCGUAGAGGGAAGCAUAGACGGACGGAAACACCGGCCAGCAUUAAACAGCACGACGCAAAAUCAAACCGUGUCGUGUUACCUGUCUUCUGGCACAUCUCAACACAAAUUUGCAUGUUUUUGUUUCGUGAGAUUCGUGUGCCUCCAUCUUCCGUUUUCCCUUUCUUCCCCGAUCUCCUUGUCGCCCAUGCGACCUGUUGUCUUCUCUGCAUCCAGCAGCUGGAUUAGAGGUGUUGCCCCUGCAUGCGGCUCGGAGGUGGGAGGUGGUUGGCUGGUUGUUCGAGCAAUCAUGUCAGUUUUGUCAGCCGCUUGUGUCGAGGAGAUGCCCCUGCAUACAGCUUGGAGGUGGGCGGUGGUUGGCUGGUGGGUGAAAUGAAAUCGAGGAGGGAGAGGGGUGGCGGUGCAGAUGGAGGGGUGGGUGGCGGUGCUGGAUGUGAUAGAAAUCUAGAAUAUAGGCUCUCUAAAUUCUGUGAUUUCUGUCCUGUCCGCUGCCGCUCACAUCUCCCUCUGCGCCUGUGAUCCCUCCCUUCUCGAUUUUAGGCCACGGCCAACAACCUCUGUCUCCCAGCUGUCUCAUCUGGAUCCAACUCAUGGUGGAAUAAAGCUUGCUUGACAGUUCAUGCGAAUCAGCGUUAUCAAAUUGCUGCUUGAUCUGUAAUUCGGUUCAUUCUGUGGUUACUUUACUUUGUGUGAGCAAUCAAAGUUAGUUUUGUCCGGUGAUGAAGUGAUUUGGAGACCUGUACUGAGGAAGGGCUGUAUGAAUUGAGUUUUUAUCAAAUUUGCUUCAUAAAUGUUAAUGGCUUGUUAGCAGUUUACUCUGUA